rnacentral:rRNA from 1 species
GAUGAACGCUGGCGGCAUGCCUAAUACAUGCAAGUCGAGCGAACAGACGAGGAGCUUGCUCCUCUGACGUUAGCGGCGGACGGGUGAGUAACACGUGGAUAACCUACCUAUAAGACUGGGAUAACUUCGGGAAACCGGAGCUAAUACCGGAUAAUAUAUUGAACCGCAUGGUUCAAUAGUGAAAGACGGUUUUGCUGUCACUUAUAGAUGGAUCCGCGCCGCAUUAGCUAGUUGGUAAGGUAACGGCUUACCAAGGCAACGAUGCGUAGCCGACCUGAGAGGGUGAUCGGCCACACUGGAACUGAGACACGGUCCAGACUCCUACGGGAGGCAGCAGUAGGGAAUCUUCCGCAAUGGGCGAAAGCCUGACGGAGCAACGCCGCGUGAGUGAUGAAGGUCUUCGGAUCGUAAAACUCUGCUAUUAGGGAAGAACAAAUGUGUAAGUAACUAUGCACGUCUUGACGGUACCUAAUCAGAAAGCCACGGCUAACUACGUG